GUCAUUGGCUACAUUGGACUGAAGAGGAAGCUGAGCUCAGAGCUGUUGCCUUCCCAGCGCCGUGACACACGACCAGAAGCGCCUUAGAGCUAGGGCGGAGGCCGGCUCCGCUGUGCGAGUCAAUGCUCUCCUGCCACAACCGCGUUGACUGAGCUCAGCCUCGAGGACUCACAGAUCGUUCACUCUCGGCUAAGCCCUUCGUAAGGCUCCGGACCUCGGGCCAGCAUAGGAGAGAGGUCUCCGCAAUUAAAAAGAAAACGGAGUCUCCCACUGUUACCCGGGCUGGAGUGCAAUGGCGUGAUCUUGGUUCACUGCAACCUCCGCCUCUCAGGCUCAUGCAAUUCGUCAGCUUGAACCUGCUGAGUAGCUGGAACUACAGAUACCUUUUAGGUUUUGCCAGUUGUCCCAACCAUGUCCUUCAGCAAGCAAGACCUUCAGAUCAGAGUCAGGCACUGCACUGAGCUAAGGCGUCUUCAGUAUGAUUUAGACUGGGACAGUUCCUGGGACCUUGACCCUCCGGGAGCUGACAGGAUUCGGAAAAUUGAAUACAUGGAAUUUGUUUUGCUUUAUCACAAUGAGAAACAGUUGCCAUCCCUUUUUAUGUGAAGCUGCUCUUCUUAUUAGAUUACUGCCCAAGCAUUCCAACCACUUAAACAAAAUCCAUCUGUGUGGCCCCAACCAAAGCCUUAAAACCCACCAAGAUCAGGCCUGGCACGGUGGCUCACACCUGUAAUCCUAGCACUUUGGGAGGCCGAGGCGGGCGGACCACCUGAGGUCAGGAGUUCGAGACCAGACUGGCCAACACAGCAAAACCCCAUCUCUACUAAAAAUACAAAAAUUAGCCGGGCGUGAUGGCAUGUGCCUGUAGUCCCAGCUACUUGGGAGGGUGAGGCAGGAGAAUCUCUUUAACACGGAAGGUGGAGGUUGCAGUGAGCCGAGAUCACACCACUGCAUUCCAGCCUGGGUGACAGGGCAAGACUCUAUCUCAAAACAACCACCCACCACCACCAACAACAAAAAACAAAGAAAAACCACCAAGACCAGAAAAGAUUCGGAACACUGGGUCACUUGGCUGCCUUCCGAGCACCUGUGCCAGCUAGAUAUGGCUCAUUUUAUAGAUAAGCAAACAGAGUCCCGUUGAGUGUAGUUUAUCCAGCAAUCACGGGUACAGAACGAGCCUCUUCUGACAUCCUUGGGCCAUGUAGACAAGCAAUUCAGGUUCAAAAUCACAUCAGUUCAGUCAAAACUCUUCUGCUGGUUUGGAAGGUAAAUGAAUACAGCCUUAAAUUUUGACUUUAUGAGUGCAAUUUUUUCCUCUUAUAACUUUGCAUUCUGUCCACAAUCUGAUUUGAAGAAUCUCUAAUUAAGAACCAAAUACUCUAUGUCAUAGGACAGUCGUAUUUUUAGGAUAGUGGUAUUCUUGGAGCUUAACAAUAACUAAUCAAGAUAAACAGGACUUCCGAGGAAUAGACACACAUAUAAACCAUUCAGAUUAACAAAAGGACAUGCCCAGAGUUGGAGAAAACCAUAGCCCACCCUGGGAUGAGCUCUGCCUUGUAGAGGGGGGCUGAGAUUUUACUGAGUCACCUGGAGCAAUGCUCUGCAUUUUCCGGACUUUUCUGGAGGUGAAAUAAGGUGAAAUAGGUGAAAUAAGCCAUUGAGGUGUCCUUCGCACUGUAGCUGGGCACACGGCAUCACUAGCUUGCUGGUCUGAUGCACUCUGGGAAAACUAGCCAAUGAGGUUCAUAUUAAAGCAUACCUACACCUCUUCACCCAUAAUUCGACCUGUCGUAUGGGGUAUGAACACCCAGCAUUUCUGAAUUCAGUUUAGGGUGAUGUUGAAACGACCAGCUUGGUGGCUCUGAAAGGUUUCUGUUGAUUUCUGUAAAAUACCUCUCAUCUCACAGCAAUGCUGGGCAAAUGCAAGAAGUGGUACUAACUACAUCAUGCUAUGAGGCUUGAGAACUAGGAGGGAUUCAGCCAAUGCCUCCUACCAGGCCAAAAACUAGAAGCCGUAUUGGAUUAUUCAAAAGCAACAUAGACAGGCUGGGUGCAGUGACUCAAUGCAGUAAUCCCAGCAUUUUGGGAUGCUGAGGCAGGUGAAUCAUUUAAGGUCAGAAGUUUGAGACCAGCUUGGUCACCAUGGUGAAACUCCAUCUAUACUAAAAAUACAAAAAAUUAGCUGUGUGUGGUGGCAAAUGCCUGUUAAUCCCAGCUACUCAGGAGGCUGAGGCAGGAGAGGUGCUUGAACCUGGGAGGUGAAGGUUACAGUGAGCCAAGGGCACUCCAGCCUGGGUGACAGAGUGAGACUCCAUCUCAAAAACAAGCAAACAAAAAAACCCCACAAAAAAAACCGUCGACAGAAACUGGACAUCCAAGAUGGCCACCAAACCAAACAUGUACUUAGAUGAAAACAACACAUCGUCAAACAAGGCAGACGAUGUUACCAGAACAUAAAAUCAUUAUCAACAUUACACAAACAUCCUCAUCCGGCUCCAUCUUCACCUGACUGCUGUUACCAAACUGCUUUUGUAGAAUUGUAUAUGGGACCCCAUCUUGUUCCUGGCACACAGGAGGUGAUGAGUGAAUGGAACCAUAGUCUGCCUCACAUAGACAAGGAGGAAAUGAGAGGCAAUGGCCUUGACUAGACCCGGAAGGGUCCUUGAUGAUUCAUCACGAAAGGUUACUCUGGAUAAGCUCCAUCCCCAAAGAGUGAUGUAAGGCUCAAGGAAGGAGGCUGUGUUUGCUCUCAUACUGGGAAAGAAGUGUAGGCACCCACAUGCGACACUUUCCUGUUCACAAUUUAAACUAUUUUGCUGUUGGCUGGGCACAGUGGUUCACACUUGCUAUCCCAGCACUUUGAGAGGCCGAGGCAGGUGGAUCACCGGAGGUCAGGAGGUGGGACCAGCCUGGCCAACAUGGGGAAACCCUAUCUCUUCUAAAAAUACAAAAUUAGCUAGGCAUGGUGGUGUACACCUGUAAUCCCAGCUACUCAGGAGGCUGAGGCAGGAGAAUCCCUUGAACCCGGGAGUCGGAGGUUGCAGUGAGCUGAGAUUGUGCCAUUGUACUCCAGCCUGGGCAAAACACCAUCUCAAUCACAAUAAUACUACUAAUAAUAAAACACAUUUAAAAAAAACAAACUAUUUUGCUGCCAUGCCUAUGCCAGUGACCAAGCCAGGAGCACAUCAGAGACCACAGUUCCAGGAGCUCUGCUAGCACCAGGUGACAGUGACGUUCCUGCCUGCUCUCAGCUGUCUUACGGUCUUACAGUGUAUGAACAUUCAGCAUUUCUGAAUUUAGUUUAGGGUGAUGAUGAAACAACGGCCAGCUUGGUGGCUCUGAGAGAUCUCUAUUAACAUGAGAAGCAGGCCAGGCGUGGUGGCUCACGCCUGUAAUUCAAGCACUUUGGAGACCAAAGUGGGCAGAUUACCUGAGGUCGGGAGUUCAAGACCAGCCUGACCAACAUGGUGAAACCCCAUCUAAAAAAAAUGAGAAGCUGUGUUUUCUGCUUGACAGCUGGUCCCAGGUGCAGCUUUCAGCAAAUCCAUGACCUGGGUAUAGGAGUUGGGACAAAAACACACUUAGCCCCUUCAUGGAGAUUGACAGCGACAUCACUAUGUUACAAGGAGCUUGGUGAGACUGUUUCAACUCAAAAAGUUGCCAACCCUAGUUGACCAUAAAUACUUUCUCCGUGUAAUACCUGUUAAUAUUAGAUAACCAUUUUUUUUUGGAGACGGAGUUUUGCUCUUGUUACCCAGGCUGGAGUGCAAUGGCGGGAUCUCGGCUCACCGCAACGUCCGCCUCCUGGGUUCAGGCAAUUCUCCUGCCUCAGCCUCCUGAGUAGCUGGGAUUACAGGCACGCGCCACCAUGCCCAGCUAAUUUUUUUGUAUUUUUAGUAGAGAUGGGGUUUUCACCAUGUUGACCAGGAUGGUCUCGAUCGCUUGACCUCGUGAUUCACCCGCCUCGGCCUCCCAAAGUGCUGGGAUUACAGGCAUGAGCCACUGCGCCUGGCCUGGAUAACCAUUUAAAAAAAAUCUGCUUUGUGGCAAUUUAUCUAUAAAUAAUAUUUCAUACAGUUAUUAAAAUUUUUCUGUAGCCUAAAAUAAUUCUUAACAUUUUUUGUUUUUCUUUAUUAAUGUCCUUGAAUCUAUAAUCACUUGUGCUAAAGUCACACAUUUUCCCAGUGAAACGGUAAUACAAGUUUCAUAUUCUCAGUCCUUACCACUUUACCCCUCACACAUAGGCAUAUAUCCAUGCUAUUUUCUACUUUCUUUCUUUUUCUUUUUUUGAGAACGAGUCCACUUUUGUCACCCAGGCUGGAGUACGGUGGCGUGAUCUCAGUUCACUGCAACCUCUGCCUCCCUGGUUCAAGCAAUUCUCUUGCCUCGCCCUCCCAACUAACUGGGACUACAGGUGUGAGCCACCACACCAGGCUAAUUGUUGUAUUUUUAGUAGAGAGAGGGUUUUACCACAUUGGCCAGGCUGGUCUCAAACUCCUGACCUUAGGUGAUCCACCUGCCUCAGCCUUCCAAAGGGGAUUGCAGGUGUGAGCCACUGUGACAGGCCACAUGCUACUCUCUUAACGACAGGGGACCUGGGGGUGUGAGGGCUUGAGGAAGGUGGACAUUGUUCAGAGACGUGAGCUCCAGGCUAGGGGAGGGCAGAGCACGCUCUACCAGUGGUUCCCAGACUUGGCGGCUCAUUGGAACCACCUGGCCAGGUUUUCAGUCUCUGAUAAUGGGGGUUCCCCUCACCAUCCCCAGCCCCCAAAGACUUUGAUUUAACUGGUCUAGUUAGAGCCUGGGCAUGGAGCCUGGGCAGCUCAAGUGAUUCUAAUGUGCUGCCAGGGUUGAGCACCACCGCUCUGUAUUAUUUGCUACUUGGUAGUGAGGUCUGUGGCCAAGUUUGCAAGAGUUGGAUGGAAGAAGAGUAGAAGAGGCAGCAGGGGCAGCUCACACAGUGGCAGGAGGACAGGCUGCAGCACAGAUGGGUGGACAUGAGCAGGUGAGCAGAGUGACUUAUCCCAGCCUCAAGCGCCAUGGAUCGUGGAUGAGAUGAUCAUGCCGGUGCUAAUGGAGAAGUUCCUGGAGGUCAGAUAUUUCGUUUUCCCACGUGGAUGAUGACAUGUUCCUGUAUGCUGUCGCAUCCCAUUAUUUUCAGUAGUUACGUUCUACGGUCACUGUGAACACUGAAUUAGUGAAUACCGAGCCAUUAGUUCUUAGUUUCCUGUGAGUCUCUGGACACAACAUUUUCAUUACAUUAUGAUUAAUACAGAACCUUACUCUG